UACAGAGGGUGCGAGCGUUGUCCGGAAUCACUGGGCGUAAGGGCGCGCAGGUGGUGGCUUAAGCGUGCGGUGAAAGCUCGGGGCUCAACCCCGAGUCGGCCGUGCGAACUGGGCUCACUGGAGCAUAGUAGAGGCAGGUGGAAUUCCGGGUGUAGCGGUGGAAUGCGUAGAGAUCCGGAAGAACACCGGUGGCGAAGGCGGCCUGCUGGGCUAUGGCUGACACUGAGGCGCGACAGCGUGGGGAGCAAACAGG
rnacentral:rRNA from 1 species